rnacentral:rRNA from 1 species
UACGUAGGCAGCAAGCGUUGUUCGGAGUUACUGGGCGUAAAGGGUGUGUAGGCGGUUGGAUAAGAGUGGUGUGAAAUCUCCUGGCUCAACUGGGAGGGUGCGCCGGAAACUGGAGUGCUUGAGCGUGGGAGAGGAAAGCGGAAUUCCUGGUGUAGCGGUGAAAUGCGUAGAUAUCAGGAGGAACACCUGUGGUGUAGACGGCUUUCUGGACCAUAGCUGACGCUGAGACACGAAAGCGUGGGUAGCAAACAGG